AUUGAACGCUGGCGGCAGGCCUAACACAUGCAAGUCGAACGAGUGGCGGACGGGUGAGUAAUUUCUGGGAAACUGCCUGAUGGAGGGGGAUAACUACUGGAAACGGUAGCUAAUACCGCAUACCAUCAGAUGUGCCCAGAUGGGAUUAGGUUGUUGGUGUGGUAACGGCUCACCAAGGCGACGAUCCCUAGCUGGUCUGAGAGGAUGACCAGACACACUGGAACGGAGACACGGUCCAGACUCCUACGGGAGGCAGCAGUAGGGAAUAUUGGACAAGGGGCGCAAGCCUGAUGCAGCAAUGCCGCGUGUGUGAAGAAGGCGUUCGGAUUGUAAAGUACUUUCAGCGGUGAGGCGUUACCCACAGAAAAAGCACCGGCUAACUCCGUGCCAGCAGCCGAGGUAAUAC
rnacentral:rRNA from 1 species